CCGGAGUAUUAUGGCACCAUUCCUGCUUUCAAGGGACAUUCUAGAAAACACCUUUUCUAUACACUUCAAAAGUAUAAAGGUCAUGAAAGACAAGAGAAGAACUACACUACACCAUCGCUACGCUUGUGGCUGUACAAUUGCAAGCAAAUGGAUGUGGGCAGCAGCAUAUGAAGAAGAUAACACCAUAUGAAUUAUUCCAUAUGAUGAAACUAAGGAGGCUGGAUGAGUAUUGUACCCCUUAAAGGCUACAACAAUUGAAAUACAGUUUGACAAAGCUAAGUUGCAGAAUAUAAAAAUAUAUAGCCUAAAGUAGGAGGAAAGAAUGUAUCUAUUAUGUAUAAG